rnacentral:piRNA from 1 species
UCUACAAGGAGAGGAACUUGCAGGUUAAC